AAUCUAAAAUAAAUAUUAUAUCUUUGAUACCACAAAUCAAAAUUUUAGCUUAAACUAUCUAGAU
rnacentral:tRNA from 1 species